rnacentral:lncRNA from 1 species
UUGUCCUACUAGACACCCUUAAGCUAUUAACAAAUUUUCAGCUUGCUAUUAAUCAACUUUUUUUUCAUACGCGGGAUCCAGACCUAAUAAGGAAACAUUAAAUUAAAAUAAAAACGUAGGCACUAAUACAGAAAGUAUUCCAAUUGCUGACGAAGUCAGAAGUGAAGUGCCUUUGAAUUUGCCUUUGUAAGUACCAAUACCUCAAAGUGUUCAUCGCUUAAAGCUUUUCUUUUAGGCGUAUCAAUCAUAGUUGCAAAAGAGAAAAGUCUUUCAACUUGUGCUGACGAAGGUAAGCAUGUGUUGUACUUUAUUGACACCCUUUUUAAGAUUGGGUAUUCAUUUAAGAUGUUUAAAUUGGUUCUUUUGUCCUCCAAAUAUCUUAACAAGAUGUGCUUUAUUAUAAUUCGAAAAAUAAUUUCUUCUAAUUAUACAGGGUACAAAAAGGGGUUCUUGAAAAGAGAGAUAUAGAAAAUAUAAAAAAUAAAUGUAAGUAAUUAAUUAAACAACGUACUUAUGAAGAUUUAUAACUGAUUAGGUAAAAACAAAGCUCCAUUGGCUAUAUAAUAAUAUAUUAUAACGGUGACGAGUACGAAAAAUGGGAUUUAACAUAUUAGACACAUUUGGAUUGAAGGAAUGGCAGUGUUGUGCCUACGUUAGGUGCAUUAUCGGCGGGCGAUAAAUAUUUAAAAGUAUCCGGAUAUCAAAAAAAGUAUCCGGAUGCCGGAUACUUUAAAAUUUGAUCACGGAUACGGAUACCGGAUACAAAA